rnacentral:rRNA from 1 species
GACGAACGCUGACGGCGUGCCUAAUACAUGCAAGUAGAACGCUGAAGAGAGGAGCUUGCUCUUCUUGGAUGAGUUGCGAACGGGUGAGUAACGCGUAGGUAACCUGCCUUGUAGCGGGGGAUAACUAUUGGAAACGAUAGCUAAUACCGCAUAACAAUGGAUGACACAUGUCAUUUAUUUGAAAGGGGCAAUUGCUCCACUACAAGAUGGACCUGCGUUGUAUUAGCUAGUAGGUGAGGUAAUGGCUCACCUAGGCGACGAUACAUAGCCGACCUGAGAGGGUGAUCGGCCACACUGGGACUGAGACACGGCCCAGACUCCUACGGGAGGCAGCAGUAGGGAAUCUUCGGCAAUGGGGGCAACCCUGACCGAGCAACGCCGCGUGAGUGAAGAAGGUUUUCGGAUCGUAAAGCUCUGUUGUAAGUCAAGAACGGGUGUGAGAGUGGAAAGUUCACACUGUGACGGUAGCUUACCAGAAAGGGACGGCUAACUACGUG